AUUGUAUUAAAAUAUAAUGAUUCUAAAAUUAAGCAUAUCGUAAUAAUUCACCAAAACCAAAAACUAGAUUUUUUCUUGUUUGAGUAGUUUCCAUGGAAACGGCUGCCAUUUUUUACCAUUCCAUAGCAAGGUGCACAACUUUACAUGGGGGUCCUCAUUAUAGUAGAGUUCCAUCAACAUUGGUCCAUUGGAUUCCAAGAACUCGCGCGGACAAAAUGUGUGGAAGAAAAAUAAGAAAAAAAAGAAACGUAGAAUAACAGUAUGUCACCCCAACUCCGUUGAGGGUGCCAUAACUAGAU